rnacentral:sRNA from 1 species
UUUUUGGCAGGAAAUAGAUUUACAAGGGAUUUUAAAUGGGUUUUAUAAGAUUUACAAGGGAUUUUAAAAGAGUAAUUUACAAGGGAUUUUAAAAGGUUUUUAAAAGAUUUACAAUGGAUUUUAAAAGGGUUUUAAAAGAUUUACAAGAGAUUUUAAAGGGAUUUAAAAGAUUUACAAAGGUCUUUUAAAGAUUUUUAAAGGGUUUAAAAUUGUUUUAAAAGGAUUUUAAAAUAUUUACAAGGGAUUUUAAAAGGGUUUUACAAUAUUUACAAGGGAUUUUAAAGGGUUUUAAAAGAUUUAUAAAGGAUUUGUAAACAUUUUUAAAGGGUUUAAAAGUGUUUUGAAAGAUUUACAAGGGAUUUUAAAACCUUUUAAAAUUACUUGUAAAAUUUUUUAAAACCCUUUUAAAAUCCCUUGUAAAUCUUUUAAAAUCUCUUGUAAAUGUUUUAAAACUU